UACGUAGGGUGCGAGCGUUGUCCGGAUUUAUUGGGCGUAAAGAGCUCGUAGGCGGUCUGUCACGUCUGCCGUGAAAACCCGAGGCUUAACCUCGUGGCUUGCGGUGGAUACGGGCAGACUAGAGGUAGGUAGGGGAGAAUGGAAUUCCCGGUGUAGCGGUGAAAUGCGCAGAUAUCAGGAAGAACACCCGUGGCGAAGGCGGCUCUCUGGGACGGUACUGACGCUGAGACGCGAAAGCGUGGGGAGCGAACAGG
rnacentral:rRNA from 1 species